GUGAACGCUGGCGGCAGGCCUAACACAUGCAAGUCGAGCGGCAGCGCGGUGUAGCAAUACACUGGCGGCGAGCGGCGGACGGGUGAGGAAUACAUCGGAAUUUACCCAAUCGUGGGGGAUAACGUAGGGAAACUUACGCUAAUACCGCAUGAACUGGAGACAGCAAAGCGGCGGACCUUCGGCGUCGCGCGGUUGGAUGAGCCGAUGUCGGAUUAGCUAGUGGCGGGGUAAAGGCCCACCAAGGCGACGAUCCGUAGCUGGUCUGAGAGGGAUGAUCAGCCACACUGGAACUGAGACACGGUCCAGACUCCUACGGGAGGCAGCAGUGGGAAUAUUGGACAAUGGCGCAAGCCUGAU
rnacentral:rRNA from 1 species